rnacentral:rRNA from 1 species
CCAUUAGAUGUUCUGGGCCGCACACGCGCUACACUGAAGGAGGCAGCGUGUACUCCUGGAUCGAAAGAUUUGGGUAACCCGCGAAUCUCCUUCGUGCUAGGGAUUGAGGUUUGCAAUUAUCCUUCAUGAACGAGGAAUUCCCAGUAAGUGCAAGUCAUAAGCUUGCGCUGACUACGUCCCUGCCCUUUGUACACACCGCCCGUCGCUACUACCGAUUGAAUGAUUUAGUGAGGACUUCGGACUGGGACCGAUGCGGCUUUCGGGCUGCGUCGGUAUUCUGGAAAGAUGUCCAAACUGUAUCAUUUAGAGGAAGUAAAAGUCGUAACA